UGGUAAACGCUUCCUGUGACAUUUAGUAUUCAAUGAAACUGCUGAUCUGUUGAGAAGACGCUUCUCCUGUCCAGCGGAGCUUCAAACAAUGCUCGAGGAAACAGACGAGAUUCCCUGCAAAACUUGUAGUGUUUCAUACGUGAUAUGAUGACAACUGGAAAAUGUUCCAGUCAUUAAGGUCUUCUUAUGAAGCAAGGAACAAGUUAUCUGUCACAAAUUAUCCUAACGUUUACUGGAUAAACUUUCCUAACAGAAACUGAGGUUCGAGUCAUUCUGUUGAUAAAAAGGUGAAAACGAACGACGUUUAGUUAUUUUCCCUCCAAACCACAAUUCUCAGCUAGGAAAGCAUUCAACAUGACUAACAGGGAAAGUGAAGAAGAUCUGAAACACAAUCCACAGGAGGAAAGUCGUAACCCUUCCUUACAACCAUAAAUUU